UCUGUUAGAACACGACCAACUCCUGGAGAACGUCAUUAGAGUUCCUUUAAGAACACGACCAACUCCUGGAGAACAUCAUUAGAGUUCUGUUAGAACACGACCAACUCCUGGAGAAUGUCAUUAGAGUUCUGUUAGAACACGACCAACUCCUGGAGAACGUCAUUAGAGUUCUGUGGAACACGACCAACUCCUGGAGAACGUCAUUAGAGUUCUGUUAGAACACGACCAACUCCUGGAGAACAUCAUUAGAGUUCUGUUAGAACACGACCAACUCCUGGAGAACGUCAUUAGAGUUCUGUUAGAACACGACCAACUCCUGGAGAACGUCAUUAGAGUUCUGUUAGAACACGACCAACUCCUGGAGAACGUCAUUAGAGUUCCUUUAAGAACACGACCAACUCCUGGAGAACGUCAUUAGAGUUCCUUUUAGAACACGACCAACUCCUGGAGAACAUCAUUAGAGUUCUGUUAGAACACGACCAACUCCUGGAGAACGUCAUUAGAGUUCUGUUAGAACACGACCAACUCCUGGAGAACGUCAUUAGAGUUCUGUUAGAACACGACCAACUCCUGGAGAACGUCA